AUUGAACGCUGGCGGCAGGCCUAACACAUGCAAGUCGAGCGGAGCGGCGGACGGGUGCGUAAUGCCUAGGAAUCUGCCUGGUCGUGGGGGAUAACGUCCGGUAACGGGCGCUAAUACCGCAUCCUCUCACAUGCGCCUAGGUCGGAUUAGCUAGUUGGUGGGGUAAAGGCCUACCAAGGCGACGAUCCGGAACUGGUCUGAGAGGAUGAUCAGGCACACGGGAACUGAGACACGGUCCAGACUCCUACGGGAGGCAGCAGUGGGGAAUAUUGGACAAUGGGCGAAAGCCUGAUCCAGCCAUGCCGCGUGUGUGAAGAAGGUCUUCGGAUUGUAAAGCACUUUAAGUUGGGAGGCGUUACCAACAGAAGAAGCACCGGCUAACUGCGUGCCAGCAGCCGCGGUAAUUC
rnacentral:rRNA from 1 species